rnacentral:rRNA from 1 species
UGGGGAAUAUUGCACAAUGGAGGGAACUCUGAUGCAGCGACGCUGCGUGAACGAAGAAGGCUUUCGAGUCGUAAAGUUCUUUUAUAUGGGAAGAUAAUGACGGUACCAUAAGAAAAAGCCCCGGCUAACUACGUGCCAGCAGCCGCGGUAAUACGUAGGGGGCUAGCGUUGUCCGGAAUCACUGGGCGUAAAGGGUUCGCAGGCGGAAAUGCAAGUCAGGUGUAAAAGGCAGUAGCUUAACUACUGUAAGCAUUUGAAACUGCAUAUCUUGAGAAGAGUAGAGGUAAGUGGAAUUUUUAGUGUAGCGGUGAAAAGCGUAGAAAUUAAAAAGAAUACCGGUGGCGAAGGCGACUUACUGGGCUCAUUCUGACGCUGAGGAACGAAAGCGUGGGUAGCAAACAGG